UACAGAGGUGCAAGCGUGUUCGGAUCAUUGGGCGUAAAGGGCGUGAGUAGGCGGUUUGUUAGUCAUGGUGUGAAAUCCCUCGGCUCAACCGGGGAACGGAGCGCAGUGAAACUGGCAGCUAGAGUACCAAGAGGGGUGGUGGGAAUUCCCGGUGGAUAGCGGUGAAGUACGCAGAUAUCAGGAGGAACACCCAAGUUGCGAAGGCAGCUCGCUGGACGUUACGACGACUGAGACGCGAAAAGCGUGGGGAGCAAACAGG
rnacentral:rRNA from 1 species